UGAAAAAUACCUAAAUUAUCUUAACUAUUCAAUCAAUAAUGAAAAUAAUUUUUUUUCAUAAUAAAUUUUAACCUAAGAAAUCUUUUGAAUUCAUCAAUUUUAAAUGGCCGCUAGACUGUUGCACUGUUGUAAAAGGUAUGCUAAAUACAUUUUAUCAGUAUGUUCUUCCCAAGUGACUUCAGCUGAAGCUUUCCUUAAAGUGAACUAUGACUGAUGAAACUGACCUUAAUAAGAAGACAACGAUCUCUUUACAAUUAAGACAUAUUAUGCAGGUGAGCACAAGUACCAUGAAAAUAAUUUAACCAAUUUUAAUGGUGCCAUAUAUUAAUCAAUCUUUACAAAACGU